rnacentral:tRNA from 2 species
GCGCCCUUAGCUCAGUGGAUAGAGCAACAGGCUACGAACCUGUAGGUCGGGGGUUCGAAUCCCUCAGGGCGCGCCA